rnacentral:rRNA from 1 species
UACGGGGGGAGCAAGCGUUGUUCGGAUUUACUGGGCGUAAAGGGUGCGUAGGCGGCCACCGCAAGUCGGUUGUGAAAUCUCUGGGCUUAACCCAGAAAGGUCAACCGAUACUGCGGGGCUAGAGUGCAGAAGGGGCAACUGGAAUUCUCGGUGUAGCGGUGAAAUGCGUAGAUAUCGAGAGGAACACCUGCGGCGAAGGCGGGUUGCUGGGCUGACACUGACGCUGAAGCGCGAAAGCUAGGGGAGCGAACGGG